GCUUAGCUCAGUUGGUAGAGCAACGCACUCGUAACGCGUAGGUCGUAGGUUCGAAUCCUAUAGCUG
rnacentral:tRNA from 2 species